rnacentral:lncRNA from 1 species
AUGAGGGAGGGGGGCGCCGCGACAAUUACAAAGGGCAAAGCAAAGAUGUUAAAUACCUUACCGAGGCGAGCGGAGCCAGCUCCGUCCAGCCCAGGGCCGGAGGUUCUAGACCUUGCCUUGCCACAGCCCUCGGGGAUGCCCCUCCCCGGGCGCCUUCAGGGAGCCCCCAGCCCCGAAGCUCCUCCAGCUGGUCCCCGGGCCCUUGUGGCUGUUUUCCCUCUGCCCGCCACCCGGGGCAGGAGCCUCCCGGCCAGCGAGAGCCGCCGCCUCGCCCACCCCGGCCAGCCUCAGGGGAGCUCUCAGCGCCCCCUCUACCCCUGCCUCGGGACCAGCCAGCCCGGCCCGACCCGCGGGGGGGACGGGGACCGGGGGGCACGGGCUUCUCUUCCUUCCCUGGACCGCCAGGAGUGGGAAGAACUGUUGUUUAAACUCGGUUUGAACCCAUGGCACGCCGGCUGGCUUUUUCCAAGAAGAAGAAAAACGCGGUUAAUGUGUCACCGGGUAUCCAGUCCAUUCAUAAAAAAAAAAAAAAAAAAAAAAAAAAANNNNNNNNNNNNNNNNNNNNNNNNNNNNNNNNNNNNNNNNNGCAGGGACCCCCAAAGGAGGCGGCUGCGGCGGGGGAUUUCCUCCCCCUCCCGCCCUGCCGGGCUCCUCCUCCCCAGACUGCGCGGCGUCGGGGCGGCGGGCGCACGGACGCGGACAAUCAAUAGCCACGGUCACAAAUUACCGCAGGAAGUGUUAGCUGCGCACCAGCUCCUAAACAAGAUCGAUGGCCUCCCGCUGCUGCACGGCCACGAAGGGCUCACCCACCUCCCUCCACCCCUCUCUUCACCCCUCUCUUCACCCCCGGCGGGCGAAUUCCGCCCGCUCGGGGAACGGGACGGGGGUGACAGUGCAGGGCGGCCGCGGUAUCACACACAAACCCACCCGGCGGUAGGGCCUGGCCCAAGCCCAGGUGAUGAGGGGAGGUCGCCCCGUUACCCGCGGUCCCUGGCUUGGGCGCGGGGCUGA